UGACAUAAAAAAAAGACAUAAAAAAAUGACAUAAAAAAAUGACAAAAAUAAUAUAACAGUAUCAUAAAUAUAUGUACAUAUACACAUUUGUGCAUGUGUAUUUUUUAUUUUAUAUUUUUUUUUUUUUUUCCUGAUUAUCUUUUAUUCAACUCAAACAGGUACAGGUUCUUCUUCGUCGACACCUAAAUUAUCCCACAUUUUUAAAAAUUCACGAAUUCUAUCAUCACAGGGUAUAAAAAUAGAAAAAACGAGCAAAGAUAUAAGUAAGGAAGAUAAUGAACUGGUAGAUGGAUUUGUUGAAGGAUUGGUUUCAAAAGGUUUAGAAACUAUAGACCAGCUUAAUGAUUUGUUUUUAAAAAAAAAGUAUCCUAAUUAUAAUGAACUUAAAUGUUAUACAUGUUUUGACGCUUUGAACAAUAAUUCAAAAAAUAAAAGAAAUAAUAUAUCUGUAUUAUUAAAAUCCAAUGGCUCUUCUGUACUUAUAGAUGUAGGAAAAACGUUUAGAGAUAGCCUCUUACAUAACAGGGACAAGAUCGACUUCUGUGAAAUAAGCAUAGAUUCUGUAUUAAUUACUCACAGCCAUACAGAUGCAUUAAAUGGUAUCGAUGAUUUGAGAGAUUUACAAGAAUAUAAGCGAGUAUCGCAUGGAGAUAUAUUUUAUUAUACGUCGGACAAACCAAUAGAUGUUUAUGUAAAUGAAGUAUCAUAUGAAAGAUUAAAAAAUGGUUAUGAUUAUUUAGUAAAAAAAAGAUACGAAAAUAUUUUUUAUUCUAAAAUAGCUGCACUAAAUGUAUUAGUAAUAAAAGAUAAAAUAUAUAAUAAGUUUACUUUAGAGGAUGAGUACUUUAACCAAACACAAGAAAAAAGUAAUGUAGUUAGUACAGAUGAAGAUAAUAUAUGUAAAAAAAAUAUUAAUAGUGGGAAUUGUACAAAUAAUGGUAAUAAUAUUAACAAUAUUGUUAAUAACACUAGUAGUGAUAAUAACAACACAAAUGAAACAAAAAAUCAAAAUGACAUAUGUAAUGAUGAAAAAAAAAAAAUAAUAAAUAUACAUACAUAUGAUAAAAGAGAUGAGCAUGGUUUUAUAUAUACUCAGUUCGAUAAAAAUAAAAAAAUAAGAUUUAUACCAUUUUUACAUGGUAAAAAUUAUGUAUGUUUGGGUUAUAUAGUAGGAAAUAAUGAUAAAUUAGUAUAUAUUUCAGAUUGUUCAUAUAUACCUGUUUAUGUAUUUAAUUAUAUAAAAAAAAUGGGUACAGUGGAUGUUUUAAUAAUUGACGCUUUAUAUUAUAAACAAAAACAUUAUUCCCAUUUCUCAUUAUAUGAAAGCAUAAAAAUGGCUCUAAUAAUAAAACCAAAAAAAGUUUAUUUUGUUGGUAUGUCUUGUGAUGUUGAACAUAACAUAACUAAUUUAUAUUUACAAAAAUUAUCAAAACAAUACCCAAACAUUUCUUUUACUUUGGCUCACGAUGGUUUAUUUGUUCCGUUUAAUUUUUAAAUGCAAACAUCAAAAAAAAAAAAAAAUAAAAUAAAAAACAACGGAAGGUGCA
ensembl:lncRNA